rnacentral:rRNA from 1 species
GAUGAACGCUGGCGGCGUGCCUAAUACAUGCAAGUCGAGCGAACAGACGAGGAGCUUGCUCCUCUGACGUUAGCGGCGGACGGGUGAGUAACACGUGGAUAACCUACCUAUAAGACUGGGAUAAAUUCGGGAAACCGGAGCUAAUACCGGAUAAUAUAUUGAACCGCAUGGUUCAAUAGUGAAAGACGGCUUUGCUGUCACUUAUAGAUGGAUCCGCGCCGCAUUAGCUAGUUGGUAAGGUAACGGCUUACCAAGGCGACGAUGCGUAGCCGACCUGAGAGGGUGAUCGGCCACACUGGAACUGAGACACGGUCCAGACUCCUACGGGAGGCAGCAGUAGGGAAUCUUCCGCAAUGGGCGAAAGCCUGACGGAGCAACGCCGCGUGAGUGAUGAAGGUCUUCGGAUCGUAAAACUCUGUUAUUAGGGAAGAACAAAUGUGUAAGUAACUAUGCACGUCUUGACGGUACCUAAUCAGAAAGCCACGGCUAACUACGUG